rnacentral:rRNA from 1 species
UGGGGAAUUGUCGAGGCAAGGCGAACCGCAAGAUGCCGCGUGUGUGAAGAAGGCCUUCGGGUUGUAAAGCACUUUUGUCCGGAAAGAAAUCCUUGGCUCUAAUACAGUCGGGGGGAUGACGGUACCGGAAGAAUAAGCACCGGCUAACUACGUGCCAGCAGCCGCGGUAAUACGUAGGGUGCAAGCGUUAAUCGGAAUUACUGGGCGUAAAGCGUGCGCAGGCGGUUUGCUAAGACCGAUGUGAAAUCCCCGGGCUCAACCUGGGAACUGCAUUGGUGACUGGCAGGCUAGAGUAUGGCAGGAGGGGGGUAGAAUUCCACGUGUAGCAGUGAAAUGCGUAGAGAUGUGGAGGAAUACCGAUGGCGAAGGCAGCCCCCUGGGCCAAUACUGACGCUCAUGCACGAAAGCGUGGGGAGCAAACAGGAUUAGAUACCCUGGUAGUCCACGCCCUAAACGAUGUCAACUAGUUGUUGGGGAUUCAUUUCCUUAGUAACGUAGCUAACGCGUGAAGUUGACCGCCUGGGGAGUACGGUCGCAAGAUUAAAACUUCAAAUGAAUUGACGGGGUCAUAGCUGUUUCCU